CCUACGGGUGGCAGCAGUGGGGGAUAUUGCACAAUGGAGGAAACUCUGAUGCAGCGACGCCGCGUGAGGGAAGACGGUCUUCGGAUUGUAAACCUCUGUCUUUGGGGAAGAAAAUGACGGUACCCAAAGCGGAAGCUCUGUCUAACUACGUUACAGCAGCCGCGGUAAUACGCAGGGAGCGAGCGUUGUCCGGAUUUACGGGGUGUUAUGGGAGCGUAGGCGGGAGAGAAAGUUGAAUGUUAAAUCUACCGGCUUAACUGGGAGCUGCGUUUAAAACUUGUUGUCUUGAGUGAAGUAGAGGCAGGCGGAAUUCCUAGUGUAGCGGUGAAAUGCGUAGAUAUUACGAGGAACACCAGUGGCGAAGGCGGCCUGCUGGGCUUUAACUGACGCUGAGGCUCGAAAGCGUGGGGAGCAAACAGGAUUAGAUACCCCUGUAGUC
rnacentral:rRNA from 1 species